AACUCUACAUGUUUUUGACAGUUUGAAUAACUAGGGUACUUUAACCAGAUUUUUAAAGAUCUUGGUUAAUGAGAUAAUUAAACUGCAUUUAACUGAUUUUUUAAAAGGAUAUCAUUUGUUCAGAAUAAUUUUCACAUCUAAAGUAAUUCUGCACUGCAAAAUAUUGCAGUAGCUCGAAUUCCACAUAAAGACGUUUUUCCAGGAACUGAAAAAAGAAAUCAAAAUUGCGGUCAAAGAAAGUAAAGACCUGAAAUACGGGAACAACCGUCACUUGUGUUUAGAAUAAUUUUCACAUCAUAUUAAAAGGCCAAAGGUCAAUGGACACAUAACCCAAACUUCAUCAAAACUUAAGUACAUCACAAAUGAUCCAAACCAGAAGAAGAUUACUGACGCGUUGGUUCCGUUCAUAGCAGGAACUCUGAUACUAUCUCAGUUGUUGAGAAUCCAGAAUUUAAGUUGUUAAUUGAAUCAUUGAAUCCCCGAAACCAGUCCAAAUCCCGUAAACAAUUCUCCACAAAAGUUUUCCUUGAAAGAUUAACUAAAAUACAAACGAGUUUAAAGGACAAGUUGCGGGCUGUAGAAAGAACCUGUUUGACUGUUGAUCUCUGGUCAAACCGACAAAUGAAGGGUUCCCUUGGAUCCCAGGUCACUUCAUAUUGGAAUGGUUUAUGGAAUCGAUCAUGAUGUCAUGCAAGCGGUACAGAUGUCAACAUUGAGCUGAAAACACACGACAAGAAUAUGAAGAAGCAGAAGCCUGCUACAGUAUAGCAGAUUAUAAACAUUGUAACAAACAUUGUUAAAACCUUUCAGGUUAUCCUACCAUGAUUUACAUGUGAUAAAUAUACAUCAUUGAAAGGAGACCUCUGCGAGUCUGAUAGUGAAGAUGAGGAUGAAGAUUCUAGUUUCGAGUCUGUGGUGUUCGAUUUCUCUACUGAAGAUAUCCCGAAGCAUGGUAAAUAUGUUUUUGCACAUGAUCUAAAAUUGGUGCAUUGUCAAAGAUGCGUCGAAAAAAUGAGCCCCCAUUUUAAAAACUGUCAUUGCGAAGGCAGCAAAGUAAGUCAAAUAUGUCAUGAAAUAUGUGAAAACCAUUAAAACUUUGGAAGACAAAAAACCCUGCAAGUUGAUAACCCACUCGUUGGAAUUCCUAAUUGGCAAUUAUUCAAGUAACCGAAAAAAAAAACAAAUUACAUGUAACUGUCUACCAUUAAUUUAACUGGGUAUGAACGUAAACUACUGCAUGAAUUCUGUUUGGUUGAAAACCUUUGAACAUGCCAUAUUGAAUAUGCAACAGGAAAACAAUGUUUCCGGAAGUCUAGUUAUCCCUGUGACACUGGGUAUCGAACACAAGCUUUCCGACUAUAAACGACAUUCAACAGGACAAUAUUAACGUUGAUGUCUUUGAUAUCAAAAAGGCUUUCAAUUUACAAAGUUGAUGAUGUUUACUAUCAGCAGCUUUAGAUCUGAAAUUUAAACUUAUGUGGUCAACAUCUCCUGUUGACGUAGGAAAAAACUACUAGUGUAUGCUAGGAAACAAGACUUGUCUUGUGAAAAUUCUUGUGUGAAUGUGAUGAAUGAUCUCCUCCAAGGAAACUUAACUAUGGUAACGUCCUCUAAAAUCUUUGUUGAGUCUGACAGUGUGUGGUAUUGCAACGCCUUGGUUGGUGAAGAAAAGCUCAGCACAUUCCUCAGCUGUCUCAGUAAAGCAGCAGGGUUUUCACAAAUUUAUACCAACUAUUCAAUCAGAGCUACUGGAUCAUCUAUUUUAUUAACAUCCAUGGUUGGUCCGUCGCAAGCCAUCGCAGUAACAAGACAUAAAUCUGUACAAAAGUGUAUGUCAAAACGUCAGUGACGAGAAAAUUAUAAUAAUGACGGGCGACUCAUUUAUCGUAAACAUUCUACCUACAAUGGCAGAUUUACCAAACUUAAAAAAUCCUGCUAUUAAGCCUGCAGUCCGCACCGAAAAUAACGAUUUCCAUGAAAUUCAAAAUGUCAAUCUUGACUUGACAAACAUUAACAUGAAUGGGCUAUUAAGUGACUUUGGGGGACAGGAAUUCAUAUGUACCCAGUUGUUAAUUUCCGACCUUUAACCUGUCUCCAUGUUCAGAAAUUGAUUCAUUACCAUACACAAUCUUAAAAAUAGAUGACGGAUCUUUACCAGAAAAGCACAAUUGUGUAAUUUUUUGAACAUUGUCGAGCUUUUAACGUUUCAUUUCUUGAUAGCUUUUUAUAAACGAAUAUAAUUGUA